GUCAAUAUAUAUGUAUCAGAAAUUGAUGGCAUGAUUAUAUGGAUAUGAUGUAUCUAAAUUGAUCAUAAUGUAAGUCGGAAUUGAUUUGAUGAAAUCAACACAUAAUGAUUAAAUGAAAAAGAGAGAUAUGGUAUGUACUAGCCUUGUCAUGUGGAUCAGCUCGCCAGGAGCUUAUGCCUGGGACAGCCCCCACUGUUUUAUAGGUGGAUCAGCCAGUCAGGAGCUCAUGCCUGGGAUAGCCCGCAAGGAGCUUAUGCUUGAGACAGCCUCUCACGGAAUUUUGUACAUGGAACAGCCGGCCAGAAGCUCAUCCUGGGACAGUCUUGAAAGGCUUAUAAGAGGAAAAUUGUUCAGAUGGUGACUGAGGUAUAGACUUGGUUAGUCCAGAGCCAGAAAGAAAAAGUUAAAAAUCAUAUGAUUAUAAAAAGAGAAAUGAAAGAUAAGACAUGAAACAAUUGUUGAACAAAAGUAUUUCACCUGUUAACAUAUGAUGAUGUAUUUUUUUUGACAAGAUAGAUAAUUUAUAGAUGUUUGUAUUAUUCCGGA
rnacentral:lncRNA from 1 species